rnacentral:rRNA from 1 species
UCUGGGACAAGCCCUGGAAACGGGGUCUAAUACCGGAUAACACUCUGUCCCGCAUGGGACGGGGUUAAAAGCUCCGGCGGUGAAGGAUGAGCCCGCGGCCUAUCAGCUUGUUGGUGGGGUAAUGGCCUACCAAGGCGACGACGGGUAGCCGGCCUGAGAGGGCGACCGGCCACACUGGGACUGAGACACGGCCCAGACUCCUACGGGAGGCAGCAGUGGGGAAUAUUGCACAAUGGGCGAAAGCCUGAUGCAGCGACGCCGCGUGAGGGAUGACGGCCUUCGGGUUGUAAACCUCUUUCAGCAGGGAAGAAGCGAAAGUGACGGUACCUGCAGAAGAAGCGCCGGCUAACUACGUGCCAGCAGCCGCGGUAAUACGUAGGGCGCAAGCGUUGUCCGGAAUUAUUGGGCGUAAAGAGCUCGUAGGCGGCUUGUCACGUCGGAUGUGAAAGCCCGGGGCUUAACUCCGGGUCUGCAUUCGAUACGGGCUAGCUAGAGUGUGGUAGGGGAGAUCGGAAUUCCUGGUGUAGCGGUGAAAUGCGCAGAUAUCAGGAGGAACACCGGUGGCGAAGGCGGAUCUCUGGGCCAUUACUGACGCUGAGGAGCGAAAGCGUGGGGAGCGAACAGGAUUAGAUACCCUGGUAGUCCACGCCGUAAACGUUGGGAACUAGGUGUUGGCGACAUUCCACGUCGUCGGUGCCGCAGCUAACGCAUUAAGUUCCCCGCCUGG